rnacentral:rRNA from 1 species
CACGGGGGGAGCAAGCGUUGUUCGGAAUCACUGGGCGUAAAGGGCGUGCAGGCGGUCAGGUAAGUGGGAUGUGAAAUGCCCCGGCUCACCCGGGGACCGGCAUCUCAUACUGCUUGGCUUGAGUACGGGAGAGGAUGUGGGAAUUCCUGGUGUAGCGGUGAAAUGCGUAGAUAUCAGGAGGAACACCGGUGGCGAAGGCGGGUCUCUGGGCCGUAACUGACGCUGAGGAGCGAAAGCGUGGGGAGCGAACAGG